GAGAAAAAGAAGCUUAGGGCACGAGAAAGAGCAAGAGAAGGCUUAAGAGAGAAAAAUUCAAGAAAUCAAUAAACUUUUGUUAGAAAUUCAGGCAAGUCACGAGUCUCAGUGAAGGGGCUAGUGGAUGUUCCAUGCUCGGUGUGGGGUUCAAGGGUUCAGAAGAUGGAACCCAUUUCUUGAUAAGAAUCAUUGUUGAGAUCGGUACUGCAUGCAAAUGAGUCGUUGAUGUGUUGUGAGUCGCAUUGCAUAAAUAAAGGCAUAUGAUUGUGAUGUGGGUGAAUUAUGAAUACUUGUUCUUGUGGCGCAUGAUUGACAUAUGUGUGAGCACCAUUUAUUAUUUUAAUGUAUUCUCACCCCUUUUGUUAUUGUUGUGGUAUGUGCUUCUCUUUGGGGUACAGAUAAGCAAGCAACUGAGUAGUUGCUUAUAACAGAAGGAUGACACAAUAUUAUUCUUCUUCAUUUUAGUUUUGUGUCUUUAGAUUACGUGCUCUGGUCUGUAACACUGGACGGGACGAACAAUGUUUUUCAUUUCAGUUUAUGUUAAUUAGGGAGUUGAAUGUUAUUCCCUCGAUGGUUGAUUGCU